UCUAAUGAAGACAGCUACAGGGAGAGAGAGAGAGAGAGAGAGAGAGAGAGAGAGAGAGAGAGAGAGAGAGAGAGAGAGAAACAGACAAAGACUCAAAGACUGAAACAGCCUUCUGGAACCUUCAUGCAAAGGAUCUCUUAGGGAAUAACACAGCAGCAAGCAGAUAAGUGGAAGCAAUGAGCUCAGACAUCAAUUGGAACCGGAUUCGAAUGGAGAGGCGGCGCACACGCAAAUCAAUCAACUCAUCUGUUAGCUAAACGCCCCGAAGCCAAAGGCGGAAAACAGCUGGGUUCCUAAGGACUCUUAACAUUCUUUGUGGUAUCCAGACCCCGGAGUGUUAAGGGAGAUGGCCUGCGGGAGACCACCAGCAGCCAGAGAAGCGUGGAGAUGCUCCGGAGUGGAUCUUCAGCAGUUCCUCCGUCCGUUUAUCUAUUGCCCACAGAUUAUAGACAGUGAUGCUCUCACAACUUCCCGAGGUUCCCAGUUCAGGACACAGGGUUCCUCCCAUCUCCUAGUCAAACUGAUCAUUGCAAUCUCAAGCAAACAUCUGACUUCUGAUGCCUCAGGAAUGGUGGCUGUGAUCUUUUAUUCUGGGCAUAUAUGGGAGACAACAGGCCUGAAUUCCCAGGAGUCUUGCUUCACGACAGUGACUUACUCCCUUGGAAGUUGGUUUUGUGCCACUGGUCUUAGUAAUUUGUAAUAGGAAAAAAUAUAUUGCAUCAUAAAACUAAAUUCAUAAUUAUUUUAACUAUGGAAUAUACCUUAAAUAUCAGAGAUGCAACAUUUCUAUAAGAGAUCUUUCUUCUAACUCUAUCAUCUGUUACCUGGCCCCUCACAGGGAAUCUAUUCACAAUUUCCUAUUACAAGGAACAACUCAAAAUGUAUGCAUGAAUGAUCUGAACUGCACUCAAUAAGGAGAAUAACCACGAAUAAUGAGGAUAGAUACUUGAUACUGUAUUUGAGCUGAAAUGUUACUUCAAAAGAUCUGAUUUUCUGACAUCCUAACAUCUAUCAACUCUGGGUAUUAAAACAUAAAUAGUGUUAGUAUAAAAAGAAGAAUAUGGUCCAACAUUUGAAUAACAAGAGAUGUUUGCAGGUGUAUUUUUAUCAUAAUUAAUUGGUCUUCAAUAUCAGUAGUUACUAGGAAAAUAUGAUUAAAAUAUAAUACUUCAGUCUAGUUUUCAAAAUCAGGUUUAAUUUUUGUAUCUUCAUUCAAUUAUAAAUGUAAUAAGAAAUAUUUAAAAUUUUUAUGAUUAUUAAUUUAUUCUAUGUAUAUGGAUAUUUUGCCUACAAGUAUGUCUGAGUAGCACAUGUGUGCUUGGUACCUGAGGAGGUCAGAAGAGGACAUCAGAUUUUCUGGGACUGGAGUUACAGACAGUUGUGAGCCACUUUGAGGAUGUCGGAAAUUAUACCCAGGUUGUUUGGGAAAUCAGCCAGUGCUAUUAAUUGCUGAGCCAUCUCUUUAGCCCAUCAGAAGGGCCAGAUAUUUUGAAAGAUCACAAAAAUUAGACAAUGCUAAAUGGAUAAUAAAGGAACAAAAAUGACCCAAAAUGAUAUAGUAAGGAAAAUUUCCAUAGAUGAAGCCUUCCCUUCCCAAGAAUAAUAUUCCAGGCACAUAUGAUAUACUAGCAAGGCCUUUUACUGAAAUACAAUUCCACAAACAAAGCCCUACAACCUCUAGCUAUCCCAGAAAUCAAUAUGAGUUACAAAUGGGAAGAAUCUUGGACAUGGUCCCAUUAAAAACCCAUGUUGGAAGUCUUUGGGAA